rnacentral:lncRNA from 1 species
GGUGAUCAGGUAACGUCCCUUCUCUAUCCAAAAUAGGAACAGCUUGAUUUCUUUGUUUCUUCAACUCUCAGAUCUUUCGAUUACAUUUGUUUGCCAACUUUGAACGAAUUCUCUACUUCAGUCCCAAAGAACCUCCGUACUACAACUAAUGGUUAUAUAUGCGAGACCAUAUAUUUUACGACCACUUUUCACAGCUUUUAAUGAGAAUACAGCAAAAAGUAAGUGCUAAUACUCUUUCAAUUUCUUGCCAUGUUCGAGGGCAUCAAGUUACAGUAGUUUGAAAAAACAAAUCUGUGUUUUCGAGCACAGGUAUAUGUUUAUACAAUCAAUUAAAAUUUGAUUGAGCUAAGAUAAGAUCUAAGGACUGAUUCAUCUUUUUAUUCUUAUUAGGGCUGGAUAAAGAGGAAACCUUUAUCUCAUCUUGUGUUAUUAAGUAUGCACUCAGUAGUUUGUAGCAUAACCUAAUAGACAUGUGUUAGCCCUUGACAAAGUUCCUCGGCAGGUGUGGGUUGUGACAAGGAUUUUCAUGAUGGCCUUGACACAACUUACAAAAUGGGGCAACAUCAUGACGGGCAGCUCGGUAUAACGGACUAAGUGGAGGCACGUUUUAGAUCAUGGCUGAUUGUGUGGCUUAGUGAUACACGUUUUUAGCAUGUUCCCUAUGUUUGCUCAUCAGUUGGGGCUUGUCAACUGAUUGUCUAAAAUGCUGCCAAGUGUAAUUGAGCAGCCUGCACUAUAAAUAUUUGCAUAAGGUUGUCCCAAAUGGGCAGAAAACUUAGUCUUGUAGCAAGUGUUAGCCAAAAACGUCUAAGUGUAAUUCCUAAG